AGUGAACGCUGGCGGUAGGCCUAACACAUGCAAGUCGAACGGCAGCACAGGAGAGCUUGCUCUCUGGGUGGCGAGUGGCGGACGGGUGAGGAAUACAUCGGAAUCUACUUUUUCGUGGGGGAUAACGUAGGGAAACUUACGCUAAUACCGCAUACGACCUACGGGUGAAAGCAGGGGACCUUCGGGCCUUGCGCGAUUGAAUGAGCCGAUGUCGGAUUAGCUAGUCGGCGGGGUAAGGGCCCACCAAGGCGACGAUCCGUAGCUGGUCUGAGAGGAUGAUCGGCCACACUGGAACUGAGACACGGUCCAGACUCCUACGGGAGGCAGCAGUGGGGAAUAUUGGACAAUGGGCGCAAGCCUGAUCCAGCCAUACCGCGUGGGUGAAGAAGGCCUUCGGGUUGUAAAGCCCUUUUGUUGGGAAAGAAAUCCAGCUGGCUAAUACCCGGUUGGGAUGACGGUACCCAAAGAAUAAGCACCGGCUAACUUCGUGCCAGCAGCCGCCGCAG
rnacentral:rRNA from 1 species